rnacentral:pre_miRNA from 1 species
AUCACCUGGGGAUCUUGUUAAAGUGCAGAUUCUGAUUCAGUAGGUCUGAGCUGGGGCCCAAGAUUUCUGCAUUGUUAACAAAACUCCCAAGUGAUGCUUG